AUUCUAUGAUGAGGGCACUUCCAUAAUAAUUCUUUGUACCUUUCCCAUGCCUCAUACAAGGACUCAUCAUCCAUUUGUUGGAAAGCAAUAAUACGUUCCUCAACUU
rnacentral:snoRNA from 1 species